rnacentral:lncRNA from 1 species
CAGAUAGGCAACCUGCUUAUCUGCAACAAUGGUUCUCAACUCUGACUACAUAUUAGAAUCACUUGGGAAGCUUUUUAAAAAGGUGAUGCCUGUCACCUUUGCCUACUUAGAGAGUUCUGAUUUAAUUGGUCUGGGUGGAGGUUAGUCAUCGUAGUUUUAAAAAGCUCCCCAGGUGAUUCUAAAGUGCAGCCAAAUUGUGAAGCACGGGCCUGAGAGCAGCUUUGGGCAGCUCUGCUCUUUUAGAUCAUUUGGCUGGCAGUGGCUGGGGAGUCAGACACAGACCUGGCUCCUGGCUUCAGAUCCCUGUGACUACCAAAGAUGCUCACAGCAGGGUUAGCUGUGCUUGGAGGCAGGUUAGAGAUGAAGCAACACUAAAGAUGGACUGAAGUCGGGGUGAAGAAUGAUUGGACUUGGCGUUGGGUGCAGAAAACGGAUGACGCAGGGAUGGCACUCGGACUCCUGGCUCUGAUAACCAGGAAUCUGCUUAAGAGUUUAAGUGAUCAUAGGACCUGAACAUACUUCAGUGCUCAUUCAAUCAACUGCCUUCAUUUUACAAAAGAGGAAAGAGAAGAAAGGUGGUAACUUGUCUGAGGUCACAUAGUGAGUUCAUGACAGCCUGGAUGAUAUUUGGGUCUUCCGACACCCAGUCCUGCGUACUGUAACUAUAAGAAAAUGCACACUCUGAAUGUCCAGGCCGGAUGGGACCUCUGGCCCAAUUUCAGAAUCCCCAGAAUAUGAAGGACUAUCUGCAUUAGAAGCACUUGUUUUAGUGUCCCAGGAGUAUCUACAUUUCAAACAAGAGCCCCAGGUAAGUCUUUUCUGGAUUAACUUAAAAAAAAUUUUUUUUUUGCUUUUAAAAAUGUU